GACGAACGCUGGCGGCGUGCUUAACACAUGCAAGUCGAGCGGCGCGGCGAACGGGUGAGUAACGCGUGAGUAACUGCCCCCCUCUCUGGGAUAACAGUUGGAAACGGCUGCUAAUACCGGCUAGUGGGGGAUGACUCGCGUCCUAUCAGCUUGUUGGUGGGGUAGUGGCCUACCAAGGCGACGACGGGUAGCCGGCCUGAGAGGGCGACCGGCCACAUUUGGCUGAGAGACGGCGCAGACUCAUACGGGAGGCAGCAGUGGGGAAUAUUGCACAAUGGGGGAGACCCUGAUGCAGAAAUUCGGGUGCGUGAUGACGGCUUUCUGGUUGUAAACCGCUUUCAGCCAUGACGCGGUAGUGGCAGAAGAAGCACCGGCUAACUACGUGCCAGCAGCCGCGGUAAUAC
rnacentral:rRNA from 1 species